AAGCCAUGGUGAGGGCAUUCUUGGAGUAGAUCCUUGAAUCUCUCUAUAAGUCUAGAAAAGGAUUCACUGGCUUCUGCCUAAACUGGUGGAUAUCACUUCCAAGCUU